rnacentral:rRNA from 1 species
ACUGCUCAGUAACACGUGGAUAACCUGCCCUGCGGUGGGAAAUAACCCCGGGAAACUGGGGAUAAUGUCCCAUAGACUACGGAUACUGGAAUGUUCUGUAGUUCAAAGAUUUAUCGCCACAGGAUGGGUCUGCGGCCGAUUAGGUAGUUGUUGGGGUAACGGCCCAACAAGCCUUUGAUCGGUACGGGUUGUGGGAGCAAGAGCCCGGAGAUGGAUUCUGAGACACGAAUCCAGGCCCUACGGGGCGCAGCAGGCGCGAAAACUUUACAAUGCGGGAAACCGUGAUAAGGGAACUCCGAGUGUCCGUAAAUGCGGACUGUCCGUAUGUUUAAAAAGCAUGCGAAGAAAGGGCCGGGCAAGACCGGUGCCAGCCGCCGCGGUAAUACCGGCGGCUCGAGUGGUGGCCACUAUUACUGGGCUUAAAGCGUUCGUAGCUGGGUUGUUAAGUCUCUUGGGAAAUCUACCGGCUUAACCGAUAGGCGUCCAAGGGAUACUGGCAAUCUAGGGACCGGGAGAGGUGAGGGGUACUUCAGGGGUAGGAGUGAAAUCCUGUAAUCCUUGGGGGACCACCUGUGGCGAAGGCGCCUCACCAGAACGGCUCCGACAGUGAGGGACGAAAGCUGGGGGAGCAAACCGGAUUAGAUACCCGGGUAGUCCCAGCCGUAAACGAUGCGCGUUAGGUGUAUCGAUGACCACGAGUCAUCGAGGUGCCGAAGGGAAACCGUGAAACGCGCCGCCUGGGAAGUACGGUCGCAAGGCUGAAACUUAAAGGAAUUGGCGGGGGAGCAC